CCACAAAUAAAAGAUCAGAUGGUGUUCUUUCAGUUUGGUGUUAGCCUCGCUGAAGCACUGCAGUAUGCCAGAGACAGAAUGUUGGCCAGGGAACGUAGUGUUUGUUUUAGGUGUCUCAGAGAGGAACAGCCAUUGAAGGAAAGCAUCUAGUGAACAUACAGAAAUUCAUUGGAAGGAAACUGGUUGUAGCUGUGCCAGCCUAAAGAAGCGAGAGUGUGGAGAUGAAAGUGAAUUUUCACUACGAUUUGAUGUCUGUAACAAUAUCGUUGGGAUAAAAAGAAAUAGCAUGAGA